rnacentral:lncRNA from 1 species
GUAAAGUCAAAGGGCAAGAUUGGGAGAUAAUAUGUACAACACAUUUAGCAGAUAAAUAAUUUGUUUCUAGAUAUAUAAAGAAUUUUACAUGUAGCUCACGGAUGAGUAGAAUCAAUAUUGUGAAAAUGACCAUACUGCCAAAAACAAUCAACAAAUUUAAUGCAGUUCCCAUCAAAAUACCACCAUCAUUCUUCACAGAACUAGAAAAAACAAUUCUAAAAUUUAUAUAGAAACAAAAGAGAGCCCAUAUAGCCAAAGCAAGACUAAGGCCUUUAUUUCAUUCCUUUGUGUGUUUAGGUGUGUUGCUGUGCUGACUAGAAAUUACAGCAUAAUGUUAGAGAAAUUGUACUAGCAAUUAAAAUGUCAAUUUAUGUGAAUUUGAAAAAAUGCAUAAAAAUCCUACAUGUAAACAAGAAAAAAAUACAACUCAAAGAAAAAUAAGCAAAAGCUCUGGACAGGAAAUACAGAGAAGAGUCACAUAUGGUCAAUACAUAUAUAAAAAGAUAUUUAGCUUCAUUAAUGAUCAGAGAACUAAAGAAACAAUACAAUUUUACAUUUGUCAGAUUGGUAACAAUCUAAAAACUUUUUUCAUUGUCAAUUUUGUACAAUUGUAAAAAACACGUAACACACAAUUUACUAUCUUAAACAUUUUGAAGUGUGCAGUUUAGUACUUUAAGUAUGUUUUCGUUAUUGUGAGCAAAUACCCACAACGUUUUCGUCUUGCAGAUCUGAAACUCUAUACCCAUUAAACAAAACCUUCGCUUUACACGCCCCCUGCCCCCGCAAUCUGUCCGUGGUAACCGCCAUUCUGUUUUCUGUUUCUAUGAAUUUAACUACUUUAGAUUCCUGAUAUAAAAGGAAUCAUGCAAUAUUUGUCCUUUUGUGCUGGCUUAUUUCAGUUAUCAUAAUGCCUUCAAGGUUCAUCCAUUUGUAGCAUGUAACAGGAUAGCCUUCUUUGGAAGACUGAAUAAUAUCCUAAUAUAUAUAUUAUCUAACAUAAUAUAUUAUAUAACAUAUAACAUAAUAUAUUAUAUAACAUAUAAUAUAAUAUAUUAU